AUACGGAGGGUGCGAGCGUUACUCGGAGUCACUGGGCGUAAAGCGUCCGUAGGCGGUCGGGUAAGUCGGGUGUGAAAGCCCCGGGCUCAACCUGGGAAGUGCACCCGAUACUGCUCGACUCGAGUGCGGGAGAGGAUGGCGGAAUUCCCGGUGUAGCGGUGAAAUGCGUAGAGAUCGGGAGGAACACCAGUGGCGAAGGCGGCCAUCUGGCCCGCAACUGACGCUGAGGGACGAAAGCGUGGGGAGCAAACAGGAUUAGAAACCCUUGUAGUCC
rnacentral:rRNA from 1 species